AGGGAAUGGAAUGGAAUGGAAUGGAAAGGACUGGAAUGGAGUGGAAUGGAAUGGAACGGACUCAAAUAGAAUGGAAUGGAAUGGAACGGAAUGGAAUGGAAUGGAAGGUUAUGGAAUCGAAUGGAAUGCAUUUGAAUUGAAUGGACCCGAGAAGAAUGGAAAGGAAUGGAAUGGAAUGGAAUGGAAUGGAAUGGAAUGGAAUGGAACUUAAU
rnacentral:lncRNA from 10 species